CACGUAUUACUAUAUGAAUGCGCGGUUUACGUAUCGACUCUCGUGGGCCGGAGUAUACAACAAUUCUCAGUUUCUUUAGUCUGUCGCUCUAGGACGAGCGGUGCGCACGUCCGUUGGUUACACAGUUUUUUGACUCUCCGUUGCGUAGCCCGUACAUAACAAAACCUUUUCACAGCUGCAGUACAACGACACACUCCGGUUGCCCCGCCGACGCGGCGAUACGACGCAACAACGACCGCCGCAGACGCCGCCGCCGCCGCCGCCGACUCCCCUCCACACAACUCAGAACGCCGAUUAUUGACGCCGUAUAAUUUACAUGUACAACCACUGCGUACUGUCGUACGGCAACGGCGCACUGCGGACACGGUCGGCCAUUUUAUUUCUAAACCUCGCUCCAUCCUCGCCGGUGCUGCUCUAAUCGAGACGUCGUAUGUGAAAUUCUGUUCGUCUCAUCGCCUCCAAACGACGAUGGCCGUCGUUUUCCGUUCGUAACAUUGACAGGUUACAUACUCCUUUCGACGGCGAGAACUUGUUGACUCGGUAACGGCGAGUGCAGUACUUCGGUUUCGCCAUGAAAGCCGGACCGGUGGACACUGACCGCAUCCAGGGCAAGGACAAUGGCUGUUCGUCGUGCAGAGUAUCUGGAUCUGUUACUUUUUUACUAGUUGCUGCUUAUUUUUACUUCGGCUGCAAGCACGUGUACUACUUCGGAACCCCGAGUAUCUUCUCUCUUCUAGAAUGUCCACAACUAACCUUCGCCCCACAUUCAUCUUCAUUAUUUUUAUCGAUGGUCAACCUAGCACCUUAUCAUAUGUUUUAUAAAAUAUUAUUUUGAUGUUGAAAUGUACUACAAAGGUUUUCUUGUUGUAAUGACUGGUGACCUGAUUGUUAAUUUUUACAAAUAAAAUUAAUUAAUUAAUUAAUUAAUUUUUAAUUUUUACUAAUUUUUACACUUCUAAAAUUGGUGUGGAAAUUUAAUUUCUUUAUUACAAAUUUGUAUCUUUUAAGUCAUGAAAAUUUCCAUUUUAUUUAACAGUAGUUUCAAUUAUUAUAUCAAGUAAAAACAAUUUUAUGCUUGUAGAUGAUUAUUAAUUCUUAAGUACAUUUACCGUGUAAUAGUAACAUAUUUUCUUAAUUGAAAACAAUGAAUGUUUGAUACAAUUUGGAUCUGAAUUAUGAAUUAAAGUUUUUUAUCUGGUUUUUUACAUAAACUACAAUAAAAUAUUUUUUAAUAAAACAAACAUUUGAAUCUUUAUUUUAUUGUUGCAUUAUAACUGUAUUAAUAAUUGUGUAUACUUAUAUAAUAGCUAUUUGUUCUUAUCUACCAUAUUUGCAUUAACAUUGAUAUACAUUUGUUUUAGGUUAAAACAAAAAAAAAAAAUAAAAUAAAAAAGAUGCUUUAUACGUGCUAUUAUUAUUGUGUAUAAUAAUUGUAAGUUAAAAUUCAACUGAUAUAUGGUAAAGUUAGCUGUUAUUUGAUGUAUUAUUCAAUAAAUGCAUAUGUAUGAGCCCCUGGCGUGGUCUAACAAUCCGCAAGCUCUUAAAUGUAUAUUUGAAUGAACAUGUUAAAUUACAACCCAAAA
rnacentral:lncRNA from 1 species